AGCAGCCGCGGUAAUUCCAGCUCCAAUAGCGUAUAUUAAAGUUGUUGCAGUUAAAAGCUCGUAGUUGAAUUUCGGGAUCAAUUUGCUGGUCGUGCCUCUGGUACGUACUGGUAUUAUUGGUUUCUCCCUUCUGACGAACCAUGAUGUCAUUAAUUUGAUGUCGUGGAGAAUCAGGACUGUUACUUUGAAAAAAUUAGAGUGUUUAAAGCAGGCAUUAGCUUGAAUACAUUAGCAUGGAAUAAUGAAAUAGGACGUUUGAUCCUAUUUUGUUGGUCUCUAGGAUCGACGUAAUGAUUAAUAGGGAUAGUUGGGGGCAUUAGUAUUCAAUUGUCAGAGGUGAAAUUCUUGGAUUUAUUGAAGACUAACUACUGCGAAAGCAUUUGCCAAGGAUGUUUUCAUUAAUCAAGAACGAAAGUUAGGGGAUCGAAGACGAUCAGAUACCGUCGUAGUCUUAACCAUAAACUAUGCCGACUAGGGAUCGGAUGAUGUUAAUUUUUUAAUGACUCAUUCGGCGCCUUAC
rnacentral:rRNA from 1 species